rnacentral:rRNA from 1 species
AGCGAACGCUGGCGGCAGGCCUAACACAUGCAAGUCGAACGGACCCUUCGGGGCUAGUGGCGGACGGGUGAGUAACACGUGGGAACGUGCCCUUUGGUUCGGAACAACCCAGGGAAACAUGAGCUCAUACCGGACGUGCCCUUCGGGGGCAAGAUUUAUCGCCAUUGGAGCGGCCCGCGUCUGAUUAGCUAGUUUGUGAGGUAAAGGCUCACCAAGGCGACGAUCAGUAGCUGGUCUGAGAGGAUGAUCAGCCACAUUGGGACUGAGACACGGCCCAAACUCCUACGGGAGGCAGCAGUGGGGAAUCUUGCGCAAUGGGCGAAAGCCUGACGCAGCCAUGCCGCGUGAAUGAUGAAGGUCUUAGGAUUGUAAAAUUCUUUCACCGGGGACGAUAAUGACGGUACCCGGAGAAGAGGCCCCGGCUAACUUCGUGCCAGCCGCCGCGGUAAGAC